rnacentral:rRNA from 1 species
UGCAGUCGCACGAGAACGCUUCAGCUUGCUGAAGUUAGUAAAGUGGCGCACGGGUGAGUAACGCGUGGGUAAUCUUCCCCCGAAUUGGGGAUAACAUUGCGAAAGCGAUGCUAAUACCGGAUAAUAUCUUUUGUACCCAGGUACUUAAGAUCAAAGGUGGCCUCUAUAUGUAAGCUACUGUUUGGGGAUGAGCCCGCGUACCAUUAGCUUGUUGGUAGGGUAACGGCCUACCAAGGCUGCGAUGGUUAGCUGGUCUGAGAGGAUGAUCAGCCACACUGGAACUGACACACGGUCCAGACUCCUACGGGAGGCAGCAGUGAGGAAUUUUGCGCAAUGGGGGAAACCCUGACGCAGCAACGCCGCGUGAGUGAUGAAGGCUUUCGGGUCGUAAAGCUCUGUCAAGUGGGAAGAACCCACAUAGUACUAAUAUCACUAUGUGCUGACGGUACCACUGAAGGAAGCACCGGCUAACUCCGUG